UACGUAGGUGACCAGCGUUGUCCGGAUUUACUGGGCGUAAAGAGCGCGCAGGCGGUCGUUCAAGUCGAGUGUGAAAGCCCCCGGCUCAACUGGGGAGGGUCACUCGAUACUGAUCGACUUGAAGGCAGGAGAGGGAAGCGGAAUUCCCGGUGUAGUGGUGAUAUGCGUAGAUAUUGGGAGGAACACCGGUGGCGAAGGCGACCACCUGGACGGAGACUGACGCUGAGGCGCGAAAGCGUGGGGAGCAAACAGG
rnacentral:rRNA from 1 species